UCCUGUCCUCCAGCCUGCUGUAUGUGGUACACUACCCCAGAGAGUUUCAAUCGUUUUUAAUUAACUAUGAUAGAAACCUCUGAGGUGGAUUAUCACACAGCAACAUGUGCAAGGGCAACAG
rnacentral:precursor_RNA from 13 species